GGAGUCGGCCAGGCAACCGCUGCUCUUGCUUGCAAGGGUGGAGGAAAGUCCGGGCUCCUAGGGCAAGGCGCCAGGUAACACCUGGGGGACGUGAGUCCACGGAAAGUGCAACAGAAAGCAAACCGCCUAAGCGCGCGGCUUCGGCUGCGCGCCGGUAAGGGUGAAAGGGUGCGGUAAGAGCGCACCGCGCCGGUGGUAACACUCGGUGGCACGGUAAACCCCGCCCGGAGCAAGACCAAAUAGGGGAGCGCGCGGUUCAGCUUCGGCUGGAUCGCAUGUGUGGCCCACACAGACUCCCGGGUAGGUCGCUGGAGGUACGCGGUGACGCGUAUCGCAGAUGAAUGGUUGUCCUCGACAGAACCCGGCUUAUCGGCCGACUCCUUUU
rnacentral:RNase_P_RNA from 1 species